AAAAAAAAUUUCUCCCCAUAUAAACAAUGUUACGAAGGGGUGGGUGGGUGUCAGAAAAGGCCAAUUUUGGCGUUAUGACAUUUGUGAAUGAACCCAUAUGCAUAGGAAUCGCAGCAAAGAUGGGACUGUUAUGCGAGUGGGGGCAGAAUAGCAUUUGAACAAAAAGGGUAAUUGGGUUCUUCAGGGGUAUCCGGAAUAUUUCAUAAUCGGAUUCUGCACCCAACAAUGAACUACCUGCAUCGGUUUCCGACACAUUUCACCGCGAGAGGCGCUUCUAAAAUUCUUCAACUCUAUCGGAAACUAAUGGAAGCUAUUGAAUGUUCCAUCAAACUCCAACAGAUGGUGACUCUACAGCAUAAACAAGCUUACCGUGAUUGCCUCAUAUUCGGGAAUAUAGUAUUUUGAUUUUUUGCUUCUAAUUGAACAUUGAAUAAAAAUUUUGAAACGCCCUUUAACGCAUUGUUCUAAAUUUGUAUUUUAUUUUUUUACAAAACAAUGUACAUGUGAUAAUUUUUGUAAAAAAUUAGUAUAGAAAAUGAUUAAAUUUUUCAUUCUGUGCUGAAAGUGGUGCAGUACGGUAAACCUACCACACCAACAUUUUGACAGUUCUUUUGUUUGGAAAGUCCAGCGCCGGAGUUGCAGUCGCAGCAGCCUUCCUUCGCCUCCAGCCAGCCGUAUGUAAAUAUUGAAAUCGUACGAAUUUUAUUUCUGGUGAUUUCGAAGAAACCAUCGUGAUUGUGUGGAAUACAGUGCUGCACAUUUGCUGGAAAGAGUAAAUAAGCAGUCCGAUGGAUGUGAUGAAAGUUUUCUGCCGCAGGAGACGGUGGGGUGGGCCCCACUGGUUCGAACAAGCGCUGUUGCUGUACCGUAAAGCAGACUGGUGAAUAAGUGCCUCCUAAAGGUGGAAUAGUCGGCCCAACUCAAACAAGUGCUUGAAAAACAGACUUGGAAGCGGUUCAAGUUUCAAGCUCAAAGUGCCCAUGACGUAAAUAUUGGGCACUGAUGCAGGAGUUUCUGCCGACGUAGCUCCAGACUUUGGCCGUGAACGAGGUGCAGGUGAUGGAAGGGCGGUGGAAGGUGAUUUUACAUCCGUUCGUGUUUCAGAAGUGAGUUUUAUACCAGUGGAAUCUGUGGCAGGCGAACACGAUGAGGUGUUCGAAUCACACUGACGCCGAUAUUCGCAAUCAUACAGAACCUAAAUUAUGCUCACCCCUGCUCGAUGACCACCAUUUGCCAUGGCAAUUUGGGGAGCAUCCUUUUUCGGUUCCGACCAAUAGUUGUAUGCCAGCCGGAGAUUGCGCGAAGCGUGAUCCAUCAUCCAAUGCUCUCGGAUUUAUAGGACGGCGACUAUCGGAAGCGAGCAGAAAAGAAAAAUAUCUAUGUUCAAAAUUUUACUCGAGUGUUAUUGAAUAAAAAUAUGCAAUAGGUA